rnacentral:rRNA from 1 species
UACGUAGGGUGCAAGCGUUGUCCGGAAUUAUUGGGCUUAAAGAGCUUGUAGGCGGUUUGUCGCGUCUGCUGUGAAAUUUCGGGGCUCAACCCCGAACUUGCAGUGGGUACGGGCAGACUAGAGUGUGGUAGGGGAGACUGGAAUUCCUGGUGUAGCGGUGAAAUGCGCAGAUAUCAGGAGGAACACCGAUGGCGAAGGCAGGGCCCUGGGCGAUAACUGACGCUGAGAAGCGAAAGCAUGGGGAGCGAACAGG